rnacentral:rRNA from 1 species
GACGGAGGAUGCAAGUGUUAUCCGGAAUCACUGGGCGUAAAGCGUCUGUAGGCCGUUUAAAAAGUCUACUGUUAAAAAUUGAAGCUUAACUUCAAAGAUGCCGUAGAAACUUUAAACUUGAGUAUGGUAGGGGUAGAAGGGAAUUUCCAGUGGAGCGGUGAAAUGCGUAGAUAUCGCUUGGAACGCCGAAGGUGAAAACAGACUGCUGGGGUUGCGCCGACGCUGAGACACGAAAGCCAGGGGAGCAAACGGG